GGCCCGCGUGCUGAUGCACUGUGGACGUCACCUUGCCUGAUUGGACAGUUUGCCAGCCUUGAGUGCACGGAACGUCACAAAGCACGGAGCCAAUCAGCGUCCCCCAUAGCAAGGACCCCUAACUUCAAGUUGUCCUGGAUGGGAACAGCGAGAGACAGACCUGGGUUCAGGUCUGAAAUGGCCGCCCCUGGGCUCUGCCUCCCCGCGGCUGGAGGGCUCUCACCUCCGAGCUCCUGCUACCCACUGGCCUCGCCCUGGGUCCCCGUCCUUCUCCCUGCGGAUGCUGCCUGGAGCUGGCGGUAACCUGUUGCAGUCAGCCCCUGCAACCAUCCCACCAGGACAGAGAAGUGGGAGAGAGAAAAUGCUGGUUACUACUUUGCCAGAAGAAUGGACUUUGCCAGCAGCCCCUCAGCAAGAUCACCAUCCUUCUGCCAAUCCCUUUGUCUCCUCAUACAGGCACCCAGAGGACACUGGUUAACUUUGGCCCAAGAGUAAAUGAGCUUUCAAAACCAGAGAGCCUCCUACUAAGAAAAUCCCAUGGACCUCCUCUCACACAGUUGUCUGCUAUGUGAGAGUUUCAUGUUUUAGAAAAAUAACAGAAGGAUUCAAGAUAGGACCUACCUAGCAUCUGGAAAGCUAUGGCCACCUCCUGUAUGUGACUUUAAGGAUAACAGAGACGGCCUCACUUGACCUGUCUUCUAAUAUUACCUUUCAUUUUACUGAUACACAACUGAACAUCUUUAGAAAGGACAAAUCCUUUUGUACAACCCUUGGAGAGAAGGCUUAAUGUAAAAGCACAUUAUCUUCAACACAUCCUACAUGGUUAGUUGCUGAAACUGGAUGCAUCAGACAGCCAGCAUUGGUCCAUGGGUCUGCAGAGCACUGAGGCCUCAGGCAUGGAGAAUUAAAGGAUGUACUUAGAAAGUACCAAGUGUGUGUGCAGCCCUUUCACUUCAUACCCACUCUGUGAGAAGGCACCAGAAAGGGAAUGGAAAACAAAGCCCGCCAAGAAAGGAAAAUAAGUCAAGUCUUUGCCCUCCUAAUGAUCUUGGAACCAUCUUGGAAAUAGUACAAAGAAGACAAAACUGAAGCUACACCAAAGUCAAAUUUAAGAGGUCUUCCUGCCAUUAAGUACAACUCAACCUGGCCUUACAUGCUCCUGUUUGAUGUCACAGAGACAUCAAAGACUGUAAGAUUAUCUUAUCUCUUCAGUGCUAUAUGCCUCCAAAACCAGUGCUACAUGGAAAAUGUCAAGCUCUGACAUCAACAGAUGACACACCUGCAAUUUCUUAAAAAAAAUUACUGUUUCUUGGAAGAUUUUGAAACAUUUCUUCACUUCUGUGAAUUUGAUGUGGCAGUGAUUGAAAGAGCAACUUCAAAUACCUCUAUGAUGCCUUCUGGAUCUUUCUCCAUUGUCUUGCUUAUUAACACGUGAUUGUCUUUUGUCUGAAUUGACAUUUUUAACAAGACUUUUGUCAUUGACAUCUGCCUGUCCCAAACAUAAGAGUGCUUCUUCUUUCAUUCUCUGGCCAACCUAGGAAUUUUCCAAGUAUUUUUGCCCUGUUCCCUUUGGCUACUGAUUAUCACUGUAAAAUAUAUGAUUAACACCCAUGCCACCAUUUGAAUAUAUUAUGGCUUUGAAGUCCCCUCUGCCAAAAUAAAAUCAAUACACAGUCUUUAAACUCAGCAUCACACACUCUCAAGACAAGGAUGAAAAACAGUGAAGUUAUUUGCCACCACGUAACAUACAUAGUUUUCAGUUCAGUUCCCCAUAGGAAUCUCAUUUCCAUCUGAAAUCUCAUCAGUAUGGCCUUUACUGUCCACAUUUCUACCAGCAUUCUAGUCUUCUGAGCCCUUAUCAUAAAUUUAUGAUUUCUCUAGCCUUCUCCAAUUUCUUACAACCUUUCACAUCAAAGCAAUUUCAAAGGUUCCUCCACAACCUCAUGUACAAUUAAUUGCAUAACUCAACUUCUUGGCACCAAUUUUCUGAAUUACCCCACUAUUUGUUAUUUUACUAAACUACCUGAGAGAAAUUUCUUUAAAAAAAGUUUGUUUCAUCAAGAUGCAGUGGCUUCCAUAGUUAUAUGAGAUUAGGUAUCAUAAUUGCUAACCAGGUUCUUGCAGGCCCACAGAUAUAAUUCUAAACAGAAGCAUAAUAUGGUGGACAGUGAAAACAGGAUUUACAUAAUAAAUCAACCAUUGUUUUGACUUACUCAAUUGUGAUGUCAUAAGCCACCACUGUGAUGUGCUAAAAAUUGUGAUGUCAUAAUAAAUCAUGAUAUCCUAAAAACCAUUGUGAUUUCAUAAUCAAUUGAGAGGUCAUAAAACCACUGUGAUGCCAGAAAUAAUUGGGAGGUCAUAAACCAACAAUUAUGAUGUCUUAAAUCAAUCAUUUUUGUCAUAAUCUACUGUAAUGUCAUAAACCUCCAUUGUGAUAUCUUAAAUAAUCGUGGUGUCCUAAAAGCUAUUGUAAUGUCAUAAUGAAAUGUAUUUUCAAAAACUAUUGUGAUACCAUAAAAACACUGUGAUGUUAUAAGCUAAGAUUGUGAUGAUGAUUUUGUCAUCAUCAAUUGUGAUGUAAUAAACCAUGAUGAUAUCAUAAAAAUACAAUGUGUUGUCAUAAUUGUGAAAUAAAAAUAAUUGUUAUGCGGCCAGUGCUGUGGUGUAGUGGGCUAAGCCUCCACCUGUAGUGCUUGCAUCCUAUAUGGGUGAUGGUUUGUUUCUCAGCUGCUCACCUUACAAAUCCCACUCUCUACCUAUGGCCUGGGAAAACAGUGGAAGAUGGCCCAAGUGCUUGGACCUCUGCACUUGUAUGGAAGACCCAGAAAAAAGCUCCUGGUCCCUGGCUUCAUAUAUGUUCAGCUCCACCCAUUGUGGCAAUUUGGGCACUGAACCAAUGGCUAGAAGACCUCUCUGUCUCUGUCUCUGUGUCUCUCUCUGUAACUCUACCUCUCAAAUUAAUAAACAAAAUCUUUUUAAAAAUAAAAGAAUCAUUGUUAUCACAAAUUUACCAUUGUGAUGUCAUAAUAGAUCAUGAGAUUAUGAAAAUAAUUUUAUCAUAAAAAUCAUUUUGUUCAAAAUCAAUUCUGAUGUUCUAAACUGCAAUUUUAAUGUCAUAAAUAUUCAAUUCAGAUGUAAUAAACCUAUAUUGUGAUGUCAUAGAAAACCUGAUGUCAUAUCAUAAGGAAUUGGGAUUGAUAAUUCUAAGAGUAUGACAUCAUAAUCAGUGAUGUCAUAAAUCGAUGUUUUGGUAUCAUAAUCUGUUGUGAUAUCACUAACCAUUGUGAUGCUAUUAACCAAUAGUGUGAUACCACAAAUUUACCAUUGUGAUAUCUUUUUUUUAAAGAUUUUUUUGGAAAGUCAGUUACACAGAGCAGGGAGAGGCAGAGAGAGAGAGAGAGAGAGAGAGGUCUUCCAUCUGAUGGUUCACUCCCAAAUUCGCUGCAAUGACUGGAGCUGUGCUGAUCUGAAGCCAGGAGCGAGGAGCUUCUUACAGGUCUCCAAUGUGGGUUCAGGUACCCAAGGACUUGGGUCAUCUUCUAAUGCUUUCCAAGGCAAUAGAAGAGAGCUGUAUCAGAAGUUGAGGAGCCAGGACUUGAAGGCAUGCCCAUAUGGGAUGCUGGCACUUCAGGCCAGGGCGUUAACCUGCUGUGCUACAGUGCCGGCCACUCAUUGUGAUAUCUUCAGGCAACCAUUCUGCUAUCAUAAUUAAGCAUGACUUCAUAAAAACCAGUGCAACAUCACAAAUCAGAUCAUCAUAAUUAAUUGUGGUGUCAUAAACCACCACCAUUUUGAUGCCAUAAAUCAAGUGUGAUGUCAUAAAUCAUCAUUAUGAUAUUGAGAUUGAUUGUGAUAUCAUUAAAACCAUUUAAUGUCAUACACCAAUAAUGGUAUGUCAUAAUUCAAACAUUGCAAUAUAAUAAACCAUGGCAUUGUCAUGAUCAAUGAGAAGAUAUAAAAUGUGACAUCAUAAGCCUACCAUUGCAACAUCAAAAUUAAUUGUGCUGUCAUAAAACAUUAAUCAUUUAAAACAUUUAUCAUAAAACAUGUAUCAUUUAAUUUUGGUGUCACAAAUAUAGCUAUGCCAUAAAACAUUUAUGUGGUGUCAUAAAUAGACCAUUGCUUUGUUAAAACCAUUUGUGAUGUCAAAAACCCAUUGUUGUUAGUCCAGUAUGGUGCCACAGUAGAUUAAUCCACUUCCUGUGUCACCAACA